rnacentral:lncRNA from 1 species
ACUCUUAUUUCUUCUUCUGUGAUUUGCUGGUUGCCAACAGUUGCAUACUGCGAUGACAUAAGCUACUUUGAGCCGUCGGUAGUGAAAGCUGCAUUUAUGGCAUUCACCUGACAGAUGAUGCUAUGAAUUCGGGGAUUCCAUUUGGUGUUCGGAAUCAAGGGGUAAUGCCAAGGUGCUACACAACUAACAAUAAUUACGAGAAGAAAAAUGAGGAUCAGUUUCACAAACGAUAAAUUAGAAAAGGUUUUGGACUUGAAGCCCAAAUGAAGAAUCACCUUAUUCCCUCUCCCUCGACUAAAGAUAACCCUCUUCUACUAAGUGCCUGGAUUACCUAAUCAGAAUAUGAAGAAGCUGCAUCACAGAGACUUGAAUCAUAUGGGUACAUG